rnacentral:misc_RNA from 1 species
UCUCCGUUGGUGAACCAGCGGAGGGAUCAUUACCGAGUUUACAACUCCCAAACCCAAUGUGAACCAUACCAAACUGUUGCCUCGGCGGGGUCACGCCCCGGGUGCGUCGCAGCCCCGGAACCAGGCGCCCGCCGGAGGGACCAACCAAACUCUUUCUGUAGUCCCCUCGCGGACGUUAUUUUUACAGCUCUGAGCAAAAAUUCAAAAUGAAUCGAAACUUUCAACAACGGAUCUCUUGGUUCUG